AAUAGAUACCCCGGUAGUCCACGCCCUAAACGAUGUCAACUAGCUGUUGGGGCCUUCGGGCCUUGGUAGCGCAGCUAACGCGUGAAGUUGACCGCCUGGGGAGUACGGUCGCAAGAUUAAAACUCAAAGGAAUUGACGGGGACCCGCACAAGCGGUGGAUGAUGUGGAUUAAUUCGAUGCAACGCGAAAAACCUUACCUACCCUUGACAUGUCUGGAAUCCUGAAGAGAUUUGGGAGUGCUCGCAAGAGAACCGGAACACAGGUGCUGCAUGGCUGUCGUCAGCUCGUGUCGUGAGAUGUUGGGUUAAGUCCCGCAACGAGCGCAACCCUUGUCAUUAGUUGCUACGAAAGGGCACUCUAAUGAGACUGCCGGUGACAAACCGGAGGAAGGUGGGGAUGACGUCAAGUCCUCAUGGCCCUUAUGGGUAGGGCUUCACACGUCAUACAAUGGUCGGGACAGAGGGUCGCCAAGCCGCGAGGUGGAGCCAAUCCCAGAAACCCGAUCGUAGUCCGGAUCGCAGUCUGCAA
rnacentral:rRNA from 1 species